rnacentral:rRNA from 1 species
UGUCUCCACCCGAGACUCAGUGAAAUUGAACUCGCUGUGAAGAUGCAGUGUACCCGCGGCAAGACGGAAAGACCCCGUGAACCUUUACUAUAGCUUGACACUGAACAUUGAGCCUUGAUGUGUAGGAUAGGUGGGAGGCUUUGAAGUGUGGACGCCAGUCUGCAUGGAGCCGACCUUGAAAUACCACCCUUUAAUGUUUGAUGUUCUAACGUUGGCCCGUAAUCCGGGUUGCGGACAGUGUCUGGUGGGUAGUUUGACUGGGGCGGUCUCCUCCUAAAGAGUAACGGAGGAGCACGAAGGUUGGCUAAUCCUGGUCGGACAUCAGGAGGUUAGUGCAAUGGCAUAAGCCAGCUUGACUGCGAGCGUGACGGCGCGAGCAGGUGCGAAAGCAGGUCAUAGUGAUCCGGUGGUUCUGAAUGGAAGGGCCAUCGCUCAACGGAUAAAAGGUACUCCGGGGAUAACAGGCUGAUACCGCCCAAGAGUUCAUAUCGACGGCGGUGUUUGGCACCUCGAUGUCGGCUCAUCACAUCCUGGGGCUGAAGUAGGUCCCAAGGGUAUGGCUGUUCGCCAUUUAAAGUGGUACGCGAGCUGGGUUUAGAACGUCGUGAGACAGUUCGGUCCCUAUCUGCCGUGGGCGCUGGAGAACUGAGGGGGGCUGCUCCUAGUACGAGAGGACCGGAGUGGACGCAUCACUGGUGUUCGGGUUGUCAUGCCAAUGGCACUGCCCGGUAGCUAAAUGCGGAAGAGAUAAGUGCUGAAAGCAUCUAAGCACGAAACUUGCCCCGAGAUGAGUUCUCCCUGAGACUUAGAGUCUCCUGAAGGAACGUUGAAGACGACGACGUUGAUAGGCCGGGUGUGUAAGCGCAGCGAUGCGUUGAGCUAACCGGUACUAAUGAACCGUGAGGCUUAACCUUACAACGCCGAAG